GAUGAACGCUGGCGGCGUGCCUAAUACAUGCAAGUCGAGCGAACGGACGAGAAGCUUGCUUCUCUGAUGUUAGCGGCGGACGGGUGAGUAACACGUGGAUAACCUACCUAUAAGACUGGGAUAACUUCGGGAAACCGGAGCUAAUACCGGAUAAUAUUUUGAACCGCAUGGUUCAAAAGUGAAAGACGGUCUUGCUGUCACUUAUAGAUGGAUCCGCGCUGCAUUAGCUAGUUGGUAAGGUAACGGCUUACCAAGGCAACGAUGCAUAGCCGACCUGAGAGGGUGAACGGCCACACUGGAACUGAGACACGGUCCAGACUCCUACGGGAGGCAGCAGUAGAGAAUCUUCCGCAAGGGGCGAAAGCCUGACGGAGCAACGCCGCGUGAGUGAUGAAGGUCUUCGGAUCGUAAAACUCUGUUAUUAGGGAAGAACAUAUGUGUAAGUAGCUGUGCACAUCUUGACGGUACCUAAUCAGAAAGCCACGGCUAACUACGUG
rnacentral:rRNA from 1 species